CCUACGGGUGGCUGCAGUCGAGAAUCAUUCACAAUGGGGGAAACCCUGAUGAUGCGACGCCGUGUGAGCGAUGAAGGCCUUCGGGUUGUAAAGCUCUUUCGUAAGGGAACAAGAAAUGAGGACUAAUAAUCUUCAAAUUUGAGAGUACCUUAUAAAGAAGCACCGGCUAACUCCGUGCCAGCAGCUGCGGUAAUACGGAGGGUGCAAGCAUUAAUCGGAAUUAUUGGGCGUAAAGGGCGCGUAGGCUGGUAGAAAAGUCAGAUGUGAAAUUUCGGAGCUCAACUUCGAAGCUGCAUUUGAAACUCUUUACCUUGAGGAUAGGCGGAGAAAACGGAAUUCCACGUGUAGCGGUGAAAUGCGUAGAUAUGUGGAAGAACACCUGUGGCGAAAGCGGUUUUCUAGCUUAGACCUGACGCUGAGGCGCGAAAGCAAGGGGAGCAAACAGGAUUAGAUACCCUGGUAGUC
rnacentral:rRNA from 1 species